UAGCCAAGCCUCUCCACGCCAUUCCCAUCUCCUUAUCACUUUUCCAGCCCAGCUUUCUCAUGCUCACUGUUGGACGGAGAACUGAUAAGGGUAUGUGACUGACACGAGCCACCUUAGCCGAC
rnacentral:pre_miRNA from 14 species